GCGGGAAUGUAGCUAUUCUUGGAGACUUACUAGAACUGAAUUAUUUACCAUUUGGACUUUAUAUCUUGCCUCUGCUUUCCUCAGCAAGACGGCCUCCUCUCAGACCAGCAUCCUCUAGAAGAUUGGAGUCAUGGGCACUGGCAUCUUUCCGCUUCAACUUCAGGAAAUCAUUUUUCAGAUGCUACCUGGGGACUCCUGCAGCUGCUGUGCAUUUUCUUGGAAUCUCUCAUGGAACCAUGCAUGAUGACUGUUUCUACAUCUCUGCAUGGGAAGGAACUCAGGGAUAGAGGGCACCCCGUUCCAUCCCCAUCCCAGCCCCUAGUGCAGGGGAAGAGAGCCGUGGAUGUUAACUAUUUGCCUGGAAUGUGUGAGACGGAUCCUGCCCUUUCCUUCACCAAGCCACCUAGCAGAACCCAUGCCAUCCAGGGCAUCUGCGAGAGAAACACCUCUCCCAGCCUCCCCUGAGCAGCCCACUAGCGCUGUGGAUUCCAGAUCCUGAAACUGCAUCUUGCACUCGGUGUCCUGAGCCCAGCUGAAGUGGCAGGAGCACCACUGACUCCAGAACAGACUUGUAAAGAAAGAAGGUAUCUCCCAAGUCAGCCACAGAGGCUCAUGGUUUCCUGCUCCAUCUAGUCCUGGGUGUUUGCUUAAAUGGGCACUGGCUGACAUGACUGAAACCUCAUGCAUCCAUCACACAUUCACCCUCAACAAAGACACAGCCCCUCCUUUAAGGCCUGUGCUCCCUGUACAUACACAGUGCCCUGCAGCACAGAGAAACCACAUGAAUGGCCUUCUUGGCUCAAGGAGUCAGGGAGUAGGGGCCUGCUGAGCAUGACCAUGUCCAGAGAGUGGGGACCCCAAGAACUGUAACAGCCCAUUGGACAGAUGUGGGCAGGAAUGGGGACAAAAUCACCCACAGUCUCAGACCCCAAAUGAGGUGUGAAUAUGAAAUCCAUGAAAACCUCAUGUGGAGGCCAAAAGACUAACUAGAUUCCCAUCUCAUCUCUCCAGGCCAGAAGCCUAUUAUCCAAUCCUUCCUCUCAUUGCAAGCCCCAGAAGUAACAGCAAUUACAAAAUAAAGAAAAAUAAGAACUUGUCAGCUCCAAUUUUGGGGUUUGAAUGUGGUCUCUGGGGAAUGAUCAGACGGUGGAAGCAGCUGUGGGCAGGGACUCCUCAUGCAGCGAUGACUACUCACUAACCCAGGGCAUGCAUUCGAGGUAAACCCUGUGGGAUUCAGGGCUUGUCCUGCAUCUCACAGUUGAGCGGGCAAGAGCCACCUCUGCCCAAGUGAGGCUUUGUCCCGCACGUCAUCUGUAUGACCUUGCUCUAGGCUGCUCAGGGACGGUAAGAUUUUUGUUCUUGAGGACUGGAGCAGGUGAUGGCCCAAGUGCAAUGAGUUCUGUGGGCAUCAAUGCUCAAAAUAAACACUAAUGCACUACAGUCCCUCCCACUUGAGAGGCCCCUACCUGUCCCACAAUAUCUCAUCCACCUAGAAUUGAAUCCUGGGUCAGAUCCAUACUCAACCAACUCAUUUAAGUGCUACCAAGGGCUGACAGUGGUAAUAGGCUUUCCCUAUUACCUAUAAGGGGCAUAUGUUCCUUUUAUAGAUGCAGAAAUUAGAAGUCAGAUUGCUUAAGUGACUUG
rnacentral:lncRNA from 1 species